GCUUACGGCAAUAUCACGCUGCAAGCACCGGUUCUCGUCUGAUCACCGAUGUUAAGCAACGUUGACCCUAAUCAGUACUUAGAUGGGUGACCGUUUGGGAGAGCUAGAUGCUGUAAACC
rnacentral:rRNA from 1 species